rnacentral:rRNA from 1 species
UACGUAGGGUGCUAGCGUUGUUCGGAAUCAUUGGGCGUAAAGCGCGUGUAGGCGGUUUGGUAAGUCGAGUGUGAAAUCCCUGGGCUUAACCGAGGAAGUGCAUUCGAAACUACCUGGCUGGAAGACGGUAGAGGAAGGUGGAAUUCCUAGUGUAGAGGUGAAAUUCGUAGAUAUUAGGAGGAAUACCGGUGGCGAAGGCGGCCUUCUGGACCGAUCUUGACGCUGAGACGCGAAAGCGUGGGGAGCAAACAGG